rnacentral:tRNA from 1 species
ACUUGUCUAUCUCAGUUGGUAGAGUGCAAGGCUUUUAACCUUAUGGUCAUGGGUUCAAGCCUCACAAUGGGCA